rnacentral:ncRNA from 1 species
AGCGAUACUGACGUGCAAAUCGUUCGUCUGACUUGGGUAUAGGGGCGAAAGACUAAUCGAACCAUCUAGUAGCUGGUUCCGGCCGAAGUUUCCCUCAGGAUAGCUGGAGCCCAUUACGAGUUCUAUCAGGUAAAGCCAAUGAUUAGAGGCAUUGGGGACGCAACGUCCUCGACCUAUUCUCAAACUUUAAAUAGGUAGGAUGGCUCGGCUG